UCGACGGGUGCAAGUUCAUGCUUCUUUAGAAACCACCCUUUACUGUCUCGCGUGUUCAGGUGGAAUCACGAUAGACCAGGCGGGAGAAGGUGGGGCGGUGUGUCUGGGGUCGGUGGAGACGAUACCGGACUAGGCGGGGAGAAGGGGAGCCGCGGAGGUGAGGGGGUAGGGCAGGUCGGGUCGAGGCGGCAGCAGAGGUGAGGCUGUGGGGGAGGUCGGGGCGAGGCAGCGGCUCAAAGAAGUAGAGGCGGCGGGGGAGGUGGUGGCGUAUACGGGUAGAGGCGGUUGUCACAAACUGCACGUUCUUGAUCUGGUUCUUCUCUCUCUUCGCUUUCGGUGGGAAGCCCGGUACCUGGGGCGCUGCCGCCGGUACCCGAGGGAGGAAGGGUUCGACAAGCUCGAGGAGGUGCCUCUUAUGUUCGACGUCUUCUCGCACUUCUUUCUACAUCUUAAAGAGCUCUCCCUCUACUCCUCGUAUCUGCGGCGGGAGGCGUUUUACCGGUACCACGGCGCACUGGUCGAGCUACUGUUGAGGUUCUAGACCCGGUUACUACAGUCCCUCGACCGUAUGCUCUACCUCCUACAGCAACUUGUGAAGUACCACCUGCAGGUCCCUAAGCUCGGCCGGCGAUUGGGGCUGCCAAAGUUUCCCAAGUACUUCUUCCACCGAUUGAACAAGUGUUUUCCGUUCCGCGCGGUGGUCUAGCGGCUACGUUAGUUUCCGUAGUUCCUAGUCCAGGUCGUCCACCGCCUAGCUGCGCUGGCCAUGUUCUACCUACUACAACUCCGUUGAGAUCGACGAAGUUGGUAGCAACUGGGAGAUCUGGGAGCGAACUACCAAGUCAAGUUUCUAGUGUCUCUCGAACAACCGUAGCUCCCCGGUUCUCUGCUCGAUUAGUUCUCCGACCGUCUACUUCUACUAACACACAGGUUCGUCGUCGAGUUCUAGGAGAGCUAGAAGCCUAAACCUCCUGAACCGUUCUGUUGAGAACGGUCUCGUCAAAUGCUGUUCUAUGUUCGUCUUAAGCAUACAUUCCGAAAACAAAGCCAGCCAGUCUUCGGAUUAGACUUCUUACAAGAGUAUCCAUAAGAGGAGGCUUAACUGUUUCGGAGAACAGUGUUACAAUGUGACAAUCUACUCCACGACGAGUAACUCUUUGAGGCUCUUGACGAAUGCUUGUUCUCCAUGGAGUAGUAGUAACUACUAUAUACCCUAAACUCAAGUACCCUAUAUUAGUUUACACGAAAAUGAUUAUCAUUCACACCUUCGUUUCAUUAGUGUUGAUGAGCAUAGAAACUUCACCGUUUUCUCCGUCCACUGUAAAUGUUCGUUCUUGGAGAAAGAGUACCAUCUAGCUUCCUUAAUAAGACAUACUCUAAUAGAUAACCGUUUUCGUUUGCGGGAAUAGUACUUAGCCAAUUCUAUAGACUCUUCUAUAACGUCUUUACACCACCGUAUGGCGAUCGAUAGUAAUGUUAUCGAUCGAACAACCGAUCAUUUGGUCAUUGUCUGACCGGACCCCAGAUACUGAGAUAACCAAAACCCUUGCUUCUAUUGUUUCUUCACCUAUGGUGUUCUUUCUAUAACAAUAUAUCGAUGAUACUAGAAGGUAUAAUAGGUGCCGAAACGGAUAACGUGGAUCCGUAUAUGGGGCUUCUAAUACUCUAUUUUUUCCUGUGAAAUUAAACCUUCACCCACCGACUUCCUAUACAGGUACUCCUUGGUCCUUUUCCUGAUAAACUCCAACCUCUCUCUAUGAAGUUGUACGAGUAUCUAUCUUCGUACUAGGUCCGUCACCUCUCCGGUAUAAUAUCGUAGUAUAUACGAACAGCACACGUACUAAACCAUGAACUAUACUAAGUAAAAGAAAGUCUUCUGCUUUCAAAACAAUGACGUAGCUUGUCAUUGUCCUGUAGAGGAGCAUGGUUACGAGCAUCCAAUCGGUAUUUAUUACUUCAGCAUCUCGUCCUACCAAGACACCGAUUGUGCUCGUACGUUGUCCACUCCAAUAUAUCACGGUGGUACACAGUGAAAUGAUACAACGGUAACGAAAGUUUGAAAUUUCGAGAGGCACACAACCGAAAUCUUCUCACGUGAAAGUACCCUUCACUCGCGAGACACUUCGACCUUCUAAGAGGAAUAGUAGAAUUAAUAGAACCCUCCGACUAAGUGGACUCCAUGGAACCCAAGAGCCUGGCCGACCAACCCAAGAGGGACGGACCCUAGAGGUACGGCGAAUAAAAUUUCCAGGGACUUCUUUAUCCCCUAGAUUCCAAAAACGUCCAUGACCUGAACCCGUCUUGACCGUAAUUUUUUGACGGAGUUUCACAACCGGCCGAUUGUGUUGACUUCACGGACGCGAAACCGCCAAGGUCAUACCUCCACAACCUGACGUGCUUAAAUUGUAGGGACCUUCUCGAUGUUAACGUGGAACAGAGAGGUCUAAAAGAGUUUCCCGAACAGUUCGACUUCCUCAACUCUUUCAAAUCGGAUGUGAAACUUCUCCUCGUGCUCUUAUACAACAAGUUUCUAAACUACCCUGUACAACGGUUAGACGUUUUUGAAGUUCAGUAUUACCAAUUAACAUCCAUAAGUUGAGUUUUUCUUUUUUUAACAUCCAUAGUUGGCGCAGGAUUCGGUACCAGGCUAAUGCGACCGAGACACCGGGAACCCGUGGAGGCAGUAGACUGUCACUUACCGGACGAUACCCGACGGUCACACCUAAUUGAGGAGUACGGAGGGCUUGGAGACGGUGAACGUAUACCUUGACUGCCGAUACUUUAGCGUCCUAUACCUCUAGGAACCCUCCAAGAGUCUCGAGUAAUGAGACUGGCAAGAAGAGAUACUAAUGUACCAAAAAGGAUUGCGGUACCUCCUCCCACGUAAAGGGUUCAACUCUAUGAACCUUGACUUCUUAAGAUUGGUCGGGUCUAAACAUGUCCCUCGUUACAGGUCGGAACUCACAAAAUCCUAUUAUUAGCCGGAUCUUCCCUGGUUACCGACCCUGAAGGUAUCGGACCACUUGGAGGGAGCAGAACUCUUUCAACUACGACUUUAGGAUCCGAUGUGACCGUCCCCAUAGCUGCCUCUGCUCAACGUCCGUGUACUCAGCAACUUCGUCCGUGUACGCAGCAACUUCGUACGUCAACUCUAGGUAGGGUUGGUAGGGUGUGAGUUCAACGUCUAAAUAGUAUCAACUGGGCUAAAGGGUCGGCAGAACGUGAGUUACAUGGACAAUGCACAUUCGAAGUAAAAUGUCUUCAUCCGGAAGUACGUCUAUAAUUACCUCUACCUCAAAAUCUAGUACAAGUCCAACAGCCACGUUUACCACGACUCGUUUGACAACAAUGGCCCAGGUACCUUCACGAGUUGGGACAACCCGUCAACGGUGUAGACCAUAUGGCCACGUCCUCGUUGAAAAAUUACAAGGAUAAACGGUGAUGUUAGUAGAGUUAGACAAGGUAGUACCACUGAAAAGUUCUUCAAGACCCUCCUGUAAACUAGGUAGAUCGAAUCUCCACCGCCGUGGUUAAGACGACCUCUCUCUGCUAUCAGUACAUGUGUCUUCUCUUUCAGUACCGCUAUAGUAGAAAGAUCGUUCAGCCAUAUAAAGAAAUCGCUAAAACCUGCGUAGUUCAGCUACCACGAUCGAACAGAGAAGACUUUAUUACUCGUCGCCAAAGAUGUUAUGGGACUGAACAAACAGAUAGUAGUAUCCACUCGAGUAUGAGAGGUCCGAAUUAACCAGUGCUAUACUGUACCUCCACCGUUUUGAUAGCUGUCCGCGCCGUACCUGUUUGGAAGGUAGGGGUAGUCCCUACUGCCUCUUGUGGCACUAGGGGUGAGAGUUCCGGAAGAGGAACGCUCGGAUACUGGGUUUCGUCCACUAGUAACGACCGCCGCUAGUCCUCCAACACCACUAGAGAGGAAGACCACCGGAUGACCGCAGCUAGCUGGAGGGGCGCGGCGGCUGAAUGCGUGAUUAGGAACUCCUAAAGAGGCCCCUACCCGACUGACUAAAGUACGACCACUGUAGGCCCCCUCACAUACCUAAACACGUCUGCUCCGUCGGACCCCGCGAGAAGAAGCCGUGCGAGCAGCCGACGAACUAGCAGCGCUAGUCCCGCUAAGAACAAAGAGAUGUGGAGUUGAGCAGCUUGUUGCCAUUUGGUUCCAGAAGAAGCUGGCUGAUGUCCACUGACGCUGUCGCCAUAAGACGACUCUCCUAGAACACUUGUAGGGGCCGUGCGUCACUCCUCUACAAUAUCACAACUUCGUUCUGAAGAUAAUUAAUAUCGACCGACCUCCACAAAUCGAACACAGAACAUUCAUAAACCCAACCACUUGAAAGCAACAAGAAGUUAUAUUAGGAAGCGAUCGUAUUCACAUAUAUGGACUUCUGGG
rnacentral:rRNA from 1 species